UGGCGUAUAGCUCAAACGGUUAGAGCGGUGGCCUUAUAAGCCAUGUGUUACCGGUUCGAUUCCGGUUACGCCAA
rnacentral:tRNA from 1 species